rnacentral:rRNA from 1 species
UACGAAGGGGGCUAGCGUUGUUCGGAUUUACUGGGCGUAAAGCGCACGUAGGCGGAUCGAUCAGUCAGGGGUGAAAUCCCAGAGCUCAACUCUGGAACUGCCUUCGAUACUGUCGAUCUGGAGUAUGGAAGAGGUGAGUGGAAUUCCGAGUGUAGAGGUGAAAUUCGUAGAUAUUCGGAGGAACACCAGUGGCGAAGGCGGCUCACUGGUCCAUUACUGACGCUGAGGCACGAAAGCGUGGGGAGCAAACAGG